ACAAGCGUGGAGCAUGUGGUUAAUUCGAUGCAACGCGAAGAACCUACCUGGGCUUGACAUCCACGGAACCUGCUGGAAACAGUGGGGUGCCCUUCGGGAGCCGUGAGACAGGUGCUGCAUGGCUGUCGUCAGCUCGUGUCGUGAGAUGUUGGGUUAAGUCCCGCAACGAGCGCAACCCUUGUCUUUAAUUGCCAUCAUUAAGUUGGGCACUUUAAAGAGACUGCCGGUGUUAAGCCGGAGGAAGGUGGGGAUGACGUCAAGUCCUCAUGGCCUUUAUGUCCAGGGCUACACACGUGCUACAAUGGCCGGUACAAAGGGCAGCCACUCAGCGAUGAGGCGCUAAUCCCAUAAAGCCGGUCUCAGUCCGGAUCGCAGUCUGCAACUCGACUGCGUGAAGUUGGAAUCGCUAGUAAUCGUAGAUCAGCAUGCUGCGGUGAAUACGUUCCCGGGCCUU
rnacentral:rRNA from 1 species